CCUACGGGUGGCAGCAGUGAGGAAUAUUGGUCAAUGGACGAGAGUCUGAACCAGCAAAGUAGCGUGAAGGAUGACUGCCCUAUGGGUUGUAAACUUCUUUUAUAAAGGAAUAAAACGAGGCACGUAUGCCUUUUUGCAUGUACUUUAUGAAUAAGGAUCGGCUAACUACGUGCCAGCAGCCGCGGUAAUACGGAGGAUCCGAGCGUUAUCCGGAUUUAUUGGGUUUAAAGGGAGCGUAGAUGGGUUGUUAAGUCAGUUGUGAAAGUUUGCGGCUCAACCGUAAAAUUGCAAUUGAUACUGGCAGUCUUGAGUACAGUUGAGGUAGGCGGAAUUCGUGGUGUAGCGGUGAAAUGCUUAGAUAUCACGAAGAACCCCGAUUGCGAAGGCAGUUCACUGGACUGCAACUGACACUGAGGCUCGAAAGUGUGGGUAUCAAACAGGAUUAGAUACCCGAGUAGUC
rnacentral:rRNA from 1 species